rnacentral:lncRNA from 1 species
UCAGCCUCGGACGCUGCCAGCAAGGAGACGAUCUUACGCACUGACUUCUCAAUGAGCUGCCUGGACUCCUCCAGAUCAUUGGUGUUCAUCAGUUUCCUUUUCAUGAUGGUGAGAGGCACAUCAGGGCUGGGGGUGAGGUCAAGGUGUGUGACUGGAGGUAGGGGGACGGGAGAACUGGCUUUGCGUUUCAUACCCUGAAACUGCA